GUGAGGAAUAUUGGACAAUGGGCGCAAGCCUGAUCCAGCCAUGCCGCGUGCAGGAAGACGCAUCUAUGGUGUGUAAACUGCUUUUGUACGGGAAGAAACACUCCCUCGUGAGGGAGCUUGACGGUACCGUAAGAAUAAGGAUCGGCUAACUCCGUGCCAGCAGCCGCGGUAAUACGGAGGAUCCAAGCGUUAUCCGGAAUCAUUGGGUUUAAAGGGUCCGUAGGCGGUUUAAUAAGUCAGUGGUGAAAGCCCAUCGCUCAACGAUGGAACGGCCAUUGAUACUGUUAGACUUGAAUUACAAGGAAGUAACUAGAAUAUGUAGUGUAGCGGUGAAAUGCUUAGAUAUUACAUGGAAUACCAAUUGCGAAGGCAGGUUACUACUUGUGGAUUGACGCUGAUGGACGAAAGCGUGGGGAGCGAACAGGAUUAGAUACCCCGGUAUCC
rnacentral:rRNA from 1 species